AGGGAAGGGGAGUGAGCUGGCCGAGGCGGGGCCCUCCGUGCGCCCCAACCCCGCGCUGAGCCAGGCUGCCCACGCCUGGACCCUGCGGCUCCCCUGGGAUCCGACCCCGGCCACUCUCCAGCAUAGAAGAGCCGCUGGAGUCCACCAUGAGCCGCAGCUGCAACCGUUGACGCCAAAAGUUCAGUCCAACCUCACUUUAAAUCGUCCUGCGAGACGAAGUCUUUCUCUGCUCCUUCUGCACCUCAAAAGCACUGCUACCCCUCAUGAGCUCUUCUGGAGGGUUCUGCCCAAGCCCUGGUCUUCAAAUCCCACUGCCUCAGUGUGAACCAGCCCCGCAGCGGACCAGCUGAGGACCCAGGCUUUCGGGAAAACCGGACGGCGUCACCGCCCCUCCCCUUCCCUUCAGCCUUCCCCCCACCCCAUCAUUGUUAAAAUGAAGAAUACAAACCAAAGCAAAAAGAAACGACUCACCCUCCAGGCAACUCGGCGCACAUUCACGCGCACAUUCACGGUCCGGACGCGUGAGAGCUCUUUGGCGCCUCGAUGUUCUUCCCCACCCCCAUCCCAGUCGUGGACCCUUUGUGCUUUGACAGCAGCGCUCCACUGAGCCACAUUAAUCCUCAAAUAUGCAGUUACUUAAAGUGAAAGCCUGAUUGUUGAAAUCAAUGUACACCAGCUUCUUGUAGGUUGCAUCUUAGAAUCCUAAAAACUUCGUAUGCUAGAGCUUAAUGAUCUUUUAGUCAGAAGAGCUCAAUCCUGCCCUGCUAAGCCCUGUACUUAAAAAGAAUUUUGAAUUUUAACACCA